GACGAACGCUGGCGGCGUGCUUAACACAUGCAAGUCGAACGGAAAGGCCCUGCUUGCAGGGUGCUCGAGUGGCGAACGGGUGAGUAACACGUGGGUGAUCUGCCCCUUACUUUGGGAUAAGCCUGGGAAACUGGGUCUAAUACUGGAUAGGACCAUGCUGUAGGUGGUGUGGUGGAAAGAUUAGUUUCGGUAAGGGAUGAGCUCGCGGCCUAUCAGCUUGUUGGUGGGGUAAUGGCCUACCAAGGCGUCGACGGGUAGCCGGCCUGAGAGGGUGGACGGCCACAUUGGGACUGAGAUACGGCCCAGACUCCUACGGGAGGCAGCAGUGGGGAAUAUUGCACAAUGGGCGCAAGCCUGAUGCAGCGACGCCGCGUGGGGGAUGACGGCCUUCGGGUUGUAAACUCCUUUCAGCCAUGACGAAGCCCUAGUGGUGACGGUAGUGGUAGAAGAAGCACCGGCUAACUACGUG
rnacentral:rRNA from 1 species